UACGUAGGGGGCAAGCGUUGUUCGGAAUUACUGGGCGUAAAGGGCUCGUAGGCGGCCAACUAAGUCAGACGUGAAAUCCCUCGGCUUAACCGGGGAACUUCGUCUGAUACUGGAUGGCUCGAGUUUGGGAGAGGGAUGCGGAAUUCCAGGUGUAGCGGUGAAAUGCGUAGAUAUCUGGAGGAACACCGGUGGCGAAGGCGGCAUCCUGGACCAACACUGACGCUGAUGAGCGAAAGCCAGGGGAGCAAACGGG
rnacentral:rRNA from 1 species